UUCAUAAGGGCCACAUCAUUCGUUGG
rnacentral:piRNA from 1 species